rnacentral:rRNA from 1 species
AUGACAGGAACAAAAGAGGGCGCGAAGAUGCGAAAAUACCUUCACACGCUAAACCAAUAUGAAACACAGGCCGACAUGCGGGACCAGCAACCAGUAGCCCGCAAAAAAAUGGUGCUAGUCGACCAGGCCCAACAGCGUGCAACUACCGAGCGAACGAAAACAAGCCAGCUGGACAAAGCCAACUAUGAUGACAAGCCGAGUAGGCAAACGGCCUACACAUACCAAAAACAGAUAUUAAACUCGCCCCACAAACGCCAGCCGGACAUAAGAGCAUCUCCAGCCGUUGCGCCCCUCACCAGGCGUUUUUUCGGCCUCCUGGGAGACCCCGGCGAAAUUUUUACAGCCGGGAACGAGAUUCUUCCAGCCGCGCCCCUACAACUCGUCCUGCGCGCGCCUUGCAGCUCGCCACGCCCCCUGCAGCUCGGGGCCGCCCCUCGCAGCCGCCGCCGCCCACCCACGCCCCCAUCCAGGAGCUAG